rnacentral:rRNA from 1 species
AAAGUGGAGCAAUCCAUGAGUAGAGUGGCAAACGGGUGAGUAACACGUGGGUGACCUGCCUCAGAGUGGGGGAUAACGUUCCGAAAGGAGCGCUAAUACCGCAUAACAUCCUGCGUUUGGAAACGCGGUGAUCAAAGCCGGGGAUCGCAAGACCUGGCGCUCAGAGAGGGGCCCGCGGCCGAUUAGCUAGUUGGUGAGGUAACGGCUCACCAAGGCGACGAUCGGUAUCCGGCCUGAGAGGGCGGACGGACACACUGGGACUGAGACACGGCCCAGACUCCUACGGGAGGCAGCAGUGGGGAAUUGUUCGCAAUGGGCGCAAGCCUGACGACGCAACGCCGCGUGGAGGACGAAGAUCUUCGGGUCGUAAACUCCUUUCGAUCGGGAAGAACGCCUUCGGGGUGAACAGCCUCGAGGGGUGACGGUACCGAGAGAAGAAGCCCCGGCUAACUCCGUGCCAGCAGCCGCGGUAAUACGGGGGGGGCAAGCGUUGUUCGGAAUUACUGGGCGUAAAGGGCGUGUAGGCGGCCAACUAAGUCCGACGUGAAAUCCCCAGGCUUAACCUGGGAACUGCGUCGGAUACUGGAUGGCUUGAAUCCGGGAGAGGGAUGCGGAAUUCCAGGUGUAGCGGUGAAAUGCGUAGAUAUCUGGAGGAACACCGGUGGCGAAGGCGGCAUCCUGGACCGGCAUUGACGCUAAAGCGCGAAAGCCAGGGGAGCAAACGGGAUUAGAUACCCCGGUAGUCCUGGCCCUAAACGAUGAAUGCUUGGUGUGGCGGGUAUCGAUCCCUGCCGUGCCGAAGCUAACGCAUUAAGCAUUCCGCCUGGGGAGUACGGUCGCAAGGCUGAAACUC